GAUGAGAACGUAGCGAAAUGCGAUACGUAAUGUGAAUUGCAGAAUUCAGUGAAUCAUCGAAUCUUUGAACGCAUAUUGCGCUCUCUGGUAUUCCGGAGAGCAUGCUUGUUUGAGUAUCAGUAAACACCUCAACUUCCAUAUCUUUUUUGAAAUGGGAGUUGGACUUGAGUGAUCCCAACGCUUUUCCUCACCGAAAAGUGGCGGGUUACUUGAAAUGCAGGUGCAGCUGGACUUUUCUCUGAGCUAUAAGCAUAUCUAUUUAGUCUGCCUAAAAACAGAUUAUUACCUUUGCUGCAGCUAACAUAAAGGAGAUUAGUUCUUGUGCUGACUGAUGCAGGAUUCACAAAGACAGGCUUCGGCCGACUUUGUAAACUCGAUCUCAAAUCAAGUAAGACUACCCGCUGAACUUAAGCAUAUCAAUAAGCGGAGGA
rnacentral:misc_RNA from 1 species